UACAGAGGAGCCAAGCGUUGUCCGGAUUGACUGGGCGUAAAGCGCACGCAGGCGGACGCGCGCGUGGGGUGUGAAAUCUGGCCGCUUAACGGCCAGGCGCCAUCCCAUACGGCGCGUCUGGAGUGAUGCAGAGGUCGGUGGAAUUGCCGGUGUAGUGGUGAAAUGCGUAGAGAUCGGCAGGAACACCCAGGGGGAAACCAGUGGACUGGGCAGGAGCUGACGCUCAGGUGCGAAAGCGUGGGGAGCGAACCGG
rnacentral:rRNA from 1 species